rnacentral:ncRNA from 1 species
GGCUUGGUCCUGACUUUACUAUAAGCUUUAACCCAACUUAUACAUGCAAGUCUCCGCAUCCCUGUGAGAAUGCCCUCAAUCCCCCGACCGGGGACGAGGAGCUGGUAUCAGGCACACCCAUAGGCCCAAGACACCUUGCUUAGCCACACCCCCAAGGGAAUUCAGCAGUAAUAAACAUUAAGCCAUAAGUGAAAACUUGACUUAGUUAGGGUUAAGAGGGCCGGUAAAAUCCGUGCCAGCCACCGCGGUUAUACGAAAGACCCUAGUUUAUAUAUACGGCGUAAAGGGUGGUUAAGGAAAAAUAAAAAUAAAGCUAAAGACCCCCUAAGCAGUCAUACGCUCCACGGAGGCACGAAACCCAAAUACGAAAGUUGCCUUAAACAAACUUUACCUGACCCCACGAAAGCUGAAAAACAAACUGGGAUUAGAUACCCCACUAUGUUCAGCCCUAAACCCAGAUGAAAACUUACAAAAUCAUCCGCCAGGGAACUACAAGCACAGCUUAAAACCCAAAGGACUUGGCGGUGCCUCAGAUCCACCUAGAGGAGCCUGUUCUAGAACCGAUAAUCCCCGUUAAACCUCACCACCCCUUGCCUUUCCCGCCUAUAUACCGCCGUCGUCAGCUUACCCUGUGAAGGCCCAAUAGUAAGCAAAAUGAGUUCAACCCAAAACGUCAGGUCGAGGUGUAGCGCACGAGGUGGAAAGAAAUGGGCUACAUUUUCUACCACAGAAUACUACGAAUCAUGCCCUGAAAACAGCAUCUGAAGGAGGAUUUAGCAGUAAAAAGUAAAUAGAGUGUACUUUUGAAUUAGGCUCUGAGGCGCGCACACACCGCCCGUCACUCUCCCCAUUAUCAUCAACACAACAUUCCUAAUAAUAAAACAACAAUACGGGGAGGCAAGUCGUAACAUGGUAAGUGUACCGGAAGGUGCACUUGGAAUAUC